rnacentral:rRNA from 1 species
AUACGGAGGAUCCGAGCGUUAUCCGGAUUUAUUGGGUUUAAAGGGUGCGCAGGCGGGAGAUUAAGUCGGCGGUGAAAUUUGCCGCUCAACUGUAAAAGUGCCUUCGAAACUGGGUUCCUUGAGUGUAGAUGAAGUAGGCGGAAUUUGUGGUGUAGCGGUGAAAUGCAUAGAUAUCACGAGGAACUCCGAUUGCGCAGGCAGCUUACUAAACUACUACUGACGCUCAGGCACGAAGGCGUGGGGAUCAAACAGGAUUAGAUACCCUGGUAGUCCACGCAGUAAACGAUGAUUACUAGCUGUUUGCGAUACAAUGUAAGCGGCUGAGCGAAAGCGUUAGGUAAUCCACCUGGGGAGUACGUUCGCAAGAAUGAAACUCAAAGGAAUUGACGGGG